rnacentral:lncRNA from 1 species
AAGGAGUCAAACAAAGUCAACAGGAUGGCAAUUUCGUAAUACCGGGCGCCACUUAACCAAACUGCAGCGUUUUGGUCAUGCUGAGGAAAUGUUCCUAUUGGCUAUUAGCCAAUGGAACAGUACAUGCGCAAAGAUUCAACAGCAAAAGCCAAAUAAACAAAUUCUGGGCAUAACUCAUGUAUAAACCCUAGGGUUUCAUGUAACAAACA